GAUUCGUCACACUAUCAUUAACUGAAUCCAUAGGUUAAUGAGGCGAACCGGGGGAACUGAAACAUCUAAGUACCCCGAGGAAAAGAAAUCAACCGAGAUUCCCCCAGUAGCGGCGAGCGAACGGGGAGGAGCCCAGAGCCUGAAUCAGCAUGUGUGUUAGUGGAAGCGUCUGGAAAGGCGCGCGAUACAGGGUGACAGCCCCGUACACAAAAGCGCAUGUGCUGUGAGCUCGAUGAGUAGGGCGGGACACGUGGUAUCCUGUCUGAAUAUGGGGGGACCAUCCUCCAAGGCUAAAUACUCCUGACUGACCGAUAGUGAACCAGUACCGUGAGGGAAAGGCGAAAAGAACCCCGGCGAGGGGAGUGAAAAAGAACCUGAAACCGUGUACGUACAAGCAGUGGGAGCACCCUUCGGGGUGUGACUGCGUACCUUUUGUAUAAUGGGUCAGCGACUUAUAUUCUGUAGCAAGGUUAACCGUAUAGGGGAGCCGGAGGGAAACCGAGUCUUAAUUGGGCGUUAAGUUGCAGGGUAUAGACCCGAAACCCGGUGAUCUAGCCAUGGGCAGGUUGAAGGUUGGGUAACACUAACUGGAGGACCGAACCGACUAAUGUUGAAAAAUUAGCGGAUGACCUGUGGCUGGGGGUGAAAGGCCAAUCAAACCGGGAGAUAGCUGGUUCUCCCCGAAAGCUAUUUAGGUAGCGCCUCGUGAAUUCAUCUCCGGGGGUAGAGCACUGUUUCGGCUAGGGGGCCAUCCCGGCUUACCAACCCGAUGCAAACUGCGAAUACCGGAGAAUGUUAUCACGGGAGACACACGGCGGGUGCUAACGUCCGUCGUGAAGAGGGAAACAACCCAGACCGCCAGCUAAGGUCCCAAAGUCAUGGUUAAGUGGGAAACGAUGUGGGAAGGCCCAGACAGCCAGGAUGUUGGCUUAGAAGCAGCCAUCAUUUAAAGAAAGCGUAAUAGCUCACUGGUCGAGUCGGCCUGCGCGGAAGAUGUAACGGGGCUAAACCAUGCACCGAAGCUGCGGCAGCGAACGUAUCACCCAAGACAACUUUACGGAGUUGACGAUUGACGGAGCGAAGCGACGUCAAAGCGUUCAUUAAAGUCGAGUUGGCUUAGGGAUACGUUCGUUGGGUAGGGGAGCGUUCUGUAAGCCUGUGAAGGUGUGUCGUGAGGCAUGCUGGAGGUAUCAGAAGUGCGAAUGCUGACAUAAGUAACGAUAAAGCGGGUGAAAAGCCCGCUCGCCGGAAGACCAAGGGUUCCUGUCCAACGUUAAUCGGGGCAGGGUGAGUCGACCCCUAAGGCGAGGCCGAAAGGCGUAGUCGAUGGGAAACGGGUUAAUAUUCCCGUACUUGGUGUUACUGCGAAGGGGGGACGGAGAAGGCUAUGUUGGCCGGGCGACGGUUGUCCCGGUUUAAGCGUGUAGGUGUGUGUUCCAGGUAAAUCCGGUUCACUUUAACACUGAGGCGUGACGACGAGGCACUACGGUGCUGAAGCAACAAAUGCCCUGCUUCCAGGAAAAGCCUCUAAGCAUCAGGUAACACGAAAUCGUACCCCAAACCGACACAGGUGGUCAGGUAGAGAAUACCAAGGCGCUUGAGAGAACUCGGGUGAAGGAACUAGGCAAAAUGGUGCCGUAACUUCGGGAGAAGGCACGCUGACACGUAGGUGAAGUGAUUUACUCAUGGAGCUGAAGU
rnacentral:rRNA from 2 species